rnacentral:lncRNA from 1 species
AAUAGAAGUAUUAAUUUGUAAUAGUGCGACGUAAAUUGGGUGGGUGGGGGGCGCUAAGGGAGUAUUAAUAUGUUCCUCGCAAAAUGAUAUUUCAAAAACAAGGUAAGCGGAUUUGAUCACUUGUCCUGCCUAUACUAGAAAGAUAACUAUAUCGUUUUCGGGAUUAUUUAGCAUGUCUCCUGUUAAGACUUCAGAGUGGCACACAUUUUAAACCAACAAACCCCAGCAACCCUCGAGGAGCUUGCUGCAUACGCUAAGAUUAAGAGACUCUAGACUAUUAUUAUCAACCUGCUAUACAAAAAGAAAUCUGCUCUCCUC